AGCACGUUUAAACGCCGGCUCACAUCCGAUCACCAAAGAGAAGCAAUGUCGAGCCUGAUCAAUAUCUAGAUGGGUGACUGCUUGGGAAUACCAAGUAGUG